CCUGCAGAUUUCUGACUGCCCGGCUGGUACUCUGGAGAUACCUUGACAAGCAUGUGGUCCCCAGACUCACAGCAAAAGGCACAUGAAGUUCUUUAGGAGCUGACCUUUGGAAUAGGUCUGGUUAUGUGGAAACCCAUAGCUUGCUGCCAUUAGCCCUUUAAAGGAGAACGGAGCAGGAGCCUCCACAGAGUUCAGAGGGUUCAGACGCUACAGCUCAGUGUGUGGAAAGGGUAACGAUGCUCUUCCUUUCCUUUCCUCAUCCCCAGUGAGGUCUGCACUGAUGGUACUCACAGAAUAACUACAGCAUUCAUAGAUAUUUGAAUUGAAACUGAAGUAAUUAUGGGGAAAGGGAGACUAAUUCUCAAACAGUAUCACAUCUCUGUCAAGAACGGAGACUCCUGGAAAAUAAUUGGACUGUAUUAAAAUAUUCUCAUUUUAUUUAUGUAGUCAACAUAAAGGAAGCUUGAGUGGGUUUUUUCUUGACUGAGCUGCAACUGUAAGCACAGUGUAAGUGCAUUUUCUAGUUUUAGAUAACUUUUUAUUUGGGUGAAAAAGUUAUCUUGGUGCUACCAGAAGAAUAAGAUGAACCAAGUCACUGAAUGUGAAUUCCAUUGCCUUACCCUUUUGCACAUGCAGUGAACUUAAGCAAGUUACAGGUCUGACUUUUUAGAAGUUCAUCGUAGGUUUUUCCUUGUAUUUAAAAAAAUAUGUUAAAAUACGAUCAUUACAUUCGGAAUGUGAUGCUCCAUUUCUAGAAGCAGCUGAGCCUUCUGUCCCAGAAUUUAAGGAUUGAGAUUGGUAGAAAAGGUGGGUAGGAUAAUCUUAAACCUUAAAAAAAUAGUUACGGGACACUAGUCACUGUUCCUAGAAUUGGAAGUUAAUAAUCUGCUAUAAUAAGUAAUAAAAAUUAGAAUCUGAUUAAGAACAGGAAGAAGGGAAGAAUAUGGAGGGCAAAGGUUAAUGAGGCUUUCUAAGGGAGAGCUUAGUAUGUCCCUCAAUUACCAGUGACAAAAAGUAACAAUGACUUCUUUAAUACAUGAAAGCACAUGUCAAAAGGAAAAAGCAGUAAUCAAAUACAUUUACAAAACAAAGGGCUACAUUCCAGUCUGGAAGCAAUGCAAGUUGGCAGACCAUGACUAAAAAAUUCCUUUGGGGAUAUUGGAUCCACUUUUGGAAAGGAAAGACCAUAGCUUGCUCUAUAGCAAAUAUGAGCUCCGUCUCUUAGACAGGCGUUAAUGAAGAUGUUGCCUGCUUUCCUUACUGAAAGGAUUUGACUUUCAACUUGCAUGGUAAACUGGUUUACUCUGAACAUUUAAGCUAUAUGAAAUAAUGUCACCUGAAAAUGCCUUUUUUUUUUUUUUUUUUUUUUUUUUUUUUUUUUUAACCUUUAUCCAACUGUUUAAGGAAAUUUUGAGUUAAUAGGGUUCUGUAAAGUUACUCCAGGUACCUGGAGAAAUGGAGGUACUACUGAAAAUUAAAAAGCACAUAAUCAAAUGAGGACCGGUGGAAGGUAGCAGAAGUAUUCUACUCUUGUUCCUUUAAACACAAGGUAUGAAGGUAUCUUUACACAGGGGAGGUCAUUGGAUUCUUUUGCUGUGGUGGCUUUUUGUUGUUUUUGUUUUUUUAAGAAAGCCUUCUCUUAUUUCAGUACCUAAGCUGAUCUUCUAAAUACCGCAGGAGGUUCACCCCUGAGUCUUCCUUUCCUCCACUCCUCCAUUAGAGUGAUCAACAGUAUUUGAUGGUGACAAAAAACUUCCCAUAUUGAACGAUCAGCGUAUUUUCAUGUAUUUUUAGUCCUUGUUCUGACACUGAAGACCCUCCUCAAAUGUGGCAGCGCUGCUUCACACAGUGCAUAUCCCAUUCUGUAACGUGGUCUCCUGCUUUGUUGAGCAGAAAAGGCUCGCAGAGGGGCUUGAAUCCUUUGAGCCUUCAUUGCCACAGUAGUGCUGUGCCCAUGCUUGCAAUACGGAAUCCAAUUUUAGGGGAACCCCGUAGCGCUUACAAAAGAUGGACUUGGACAGCAUGGGUUGAAGGGGCAAAACAAUGAGGGAGGUUGGGGGUGUUUAAAAUGAACUGCCUGUUGCACCGAGGGCAGCCUAGCACCCACCUGCAGCUGUGGGGUCCUGAAGGGGAAGUCUCCCAGGGUGACGAUACGGGCGUGCAGAAACUUUAACGACGCAAGUCGAAGGCGCUGCGGAAGCAGUCUCCGACAGCCCGCUUAGCGCCUGCCUUUGAGUCGCCUUUUGCUUAGGGUCCCUUUGGAAGGCGGGUAGCUAAACCAGCUGCACCUUCUGCUGGUGAGCCGCCGGGGCAGCCGGCAGUGUGUGACUGGGUAUGCUUCCUUACUUCCAGUAAUUUACAUCGCAGCAAGAUCCUGGCAGGCUGAUACUGAACGGAGGAGGGAAGGAAGGACAGCCCUAUGCAUAAGAAAACGUGUUGGAAGUCAAGAUUUAGCCUCUAUUCCCAACUCCCUCUUGGGAUUGUUUUAUGCUCUGCUUUUGACAGAUGAGUGACAGGAAAGUGCUCCAAAGGCUUCUUAUCCCAUGUAAUUCAGUUUCCAGCUGAAAGCAGAAAAGCUGAGGCUGCUCUCCUGGUUUGGCCUUGGGGUGAGAGAUCCCCCUCGGCCUGAUCCAUUGUAUAAGCUGUCCUGUAGCGCCUUAAAGCUGGAGCUUUUCAUCAGAAAUCUACAUAUUUGUGGUGAGUAAAGUGGUAUCUGCGUAUCGGAAGCAUUCAUUUACAAUGCCACUAUUGCUGUAGAUUAGAGUGCCGCCUGCAUAAAAUCUAAAUACCAUGCACUCGAGCUGCCAUCACAGGCAGACUGGCAAGCGUGCGUGGACCCCAGGUGACUUGUAGGGCAGACAUAACAGCUUGUCAACACGUGUGAAUUUGCAAAGCCAAGUCCCAAGCUGCUGAAUUUUUUAAGAUCCUUAAAGAGGAGAGAAUUAUUUAAACAUAAAUCCUUAUCAUGGUAAAAUAUCCUUAUGCAUAGAUGACUGUCAAAUUUAAUUCCAUUGGGUUAUUUCUUUACAUCUAAAUUUGAUCGUUUUACUUCUUUACAUUUCAAAAGUAAUGCCUAGAAAUGUUCUGGCCUGGCUUGACUCUUUCUGCUGGCUGUAUAGCCGCACACGGAGUAGAGGGGAAGACUGAUCCCCAACCUUGUGCCGCAAAGCCUAGUGCUUGUCCAUUGCACUGACCGUUUUUUAAGAGGCUCAUUAUAGUUUAACCUUCUGGGACAGGGUAGUUAAGCUGUUUUGCUGUUAAUGCUAAGCCAUUUAGCAUCAGCAUAUCUAAUUCCAACUGCCAAAAGGAACUGGAGAACCCUCCUAGGUCAGUGGGGUUGUCUCUGGAUUGCCAGCAAGUAGCAUUUCAUGAAUGAGAGGUUUUCUGACCAGAGAUAAGGAUGUACUGUUGCCUCUGUUGGUUACUUAAUGUGUCCUGGGAUGACCAGAGGUGAUGGGCUGUAGGCUUUGUAGAGAAAACACUAAACUUCAGCAAAACAUCUGUAUGUGUGUUUUGAGACCCAACGUGGUUUCACAGUUCUGUUCAAAGCAGAGAAGGGUUAACUCCUUAAUGCUUAUAGCCGAGAUUUCACCCAAGCUGGAUGAUGUGAGGCAUUUCAGUGUGAAUCCAGACCAUUCACCUCCUACGUUCUCAUCCUGCCGUGUGUCCGUGAGCAAUGGCCAUGAAAGGGUGACAGGCCCUUACGCUAGAGUGAAAAAUUACUCAGUUAUCAAAGCAGAGUGCUUACCUUUCAACAGCAGGAAAGCAGAAGUGUAAGUCUAUUACCUAAAGCAGUGAACAUCAGCAGUGAGUGAUUUCCUCCAAGAUGAAGCAGGCUGAUGGUCAGUCUGCAAUUCCAGCAUAGCUUGAACUUCAGUCCUGACCUGCCAAGGCAUAAGGAUGGGUUUCACUUGCUGCUGCCCAUCAGUAGUAUCAAAGAAGUCUCGCUGUGGCAUAGCAAAUUUUGUGUACCAUCCAUCUUUUCCCAGUCUUACUUUGUCAGGCUUGAAGUUCAGUGUGUGCUAAGCCCCCAGCAAAACAGAAGGUUGCACAGCUGGGGCUAUAGAAAUAGCUUACUUUUAAACACUAGGGAAGAGAAGUCUGUGGCGUUAUGUGUUCUGGAAGAUAAAUAAUUAUUUUACAAAGAAUGCAAACGGAUACUUUGGUGAGGUGAGCAAAGAAAAUGCUAAUAACAAGAGUACAACAAAAGGAAGUAAGAAGACGUGCUGAGAGAGAUAGGGAAGUGAGGCAGCAAGAAUCUAACCUCAAAGCACGUAGGAGAUUACAGGGCCCGACUUCCGAGCCACCCUCUGAGCGCCUCAGUGAGGACGAUUAGAGUAGCAUGUUCAGUGGGACCCUGCCAUUUCGUAGGGCUGAGGCCUGUCUCAAAAACCGUUCACACAUGGACUUGAUAAAUGAGAAUUUUUAGACAGAACAUGACCUAGAAAAAUGGUCUGGACUUUUGCAAAAUGGGAUCAGCUUCAUUAAAUGUGACCUUCAGAGACAAGCAGAGAUAGACUUGUAUCUUUUUUUUUUUUCCUUGCCUUUUUCUAAAUUAAGAAUUUAUAUGUUAAGCAUAUGUCAGGCCUAUGUUACUGACAAAACUGGGGUGAGAUUUUGAUUAAAAUUUGGGUUUGGAUGUACUGCUUAUCCCCAGUAGAAAUUCAGGCCACAAUUAAGGUCAUAGGGGAACCUGUAAAAUGACUUCAUCAUCAGGGUGAAGGUACCGAAUGCUGCACAGAUAAGGGUUUUAAAGGAAUCGCCUAACUGAUUUUGAUUUUUCUUAACUAAAAAACCUGCCGGUGCAUGAUGAGCACUGCGGCAUGUCAUCACAGACUCAACAGCUUCUCCUUUUCCAUCACUGCAGGGGCUCAAAAUGAUCAUCCUGAGGGGUUGGUCAGCAAAGGGAGCUAUUGCUUGUUACAGUGAUACAAUACGCACCAGAAAGAAUUCUUCCCUGCGCUUGAAUCUGCCAUGUAUACAAGGCCCAAGGUUUUGAAUACACUUGCAAAGUAAAAUCAAAAUCAGACUGGACACUCCCAAUUGCAGCAUCUACAAGCCAAGGGCAACCUCCAGCCAUCACGCGGGAGCUACCUGCCUGCCACCCACCCGCCUGCAUCCUGGUGGCUGCAGAGUGGAGGCAAAGAGCUGCCCUGCAGGCAGGAGCAACUGCCAGGACAGACAAACUGCCUGAGGAAGCCCUGGGGCUUCUCAGGGCUGUUAAAGCAGAUUGGGAGAGAGGUGUGGAAUUAGGCAAGCAGGAAGUGAAAGGACCCAUGGAUUUUCAAGGAGGAGAAGGAAAUAGCUCUGGCGGUUGGGAUGCAGUGGAGAGUCUUUCUGUGGUGGGAUAAAUACAGUAAUAAUGGGGGGAAAAAAUCUCCGGAGAAGUCCCUUGUUAAAUAUUUUGGUAGUACCUCAUGCUCCAAACCCAUGGAAAUGUAAAGGAUGGAUCCAAGAUGCCUUCAGGUCAAAAUGGGCUUAAUUAGGGGCACCACCUGAAAGUCAAGUGCAAGGCUAAAAUUGACACCUCAAGAACAUUUGGUGGUGGCAGAAAACUGAUAUAUGGAGGUGGAGGGUGGCCGUCGGGGAUCAGAGUCAUGAAGUUUGUGAUGAGUUUGCAGCCUCCCCAGCUUGUGCCUCAAUACCUCUCGAGAGCCACCGUCACUCAUGAGUUGCCUUCUCCCUUACCCUACCAAUACAUUGGGGCUGAUAACAAAGGGAAGGGA